CACUAAGAAGCUAGUCAGCGUUAACCUUUUAAGUUAAAGAAUGAGAACUAUAAACUCUCCUUAGUGA
ensembl:Mt_tRNA